GACAGAGGUGCCGAGCGUUAGGCGGAAUCACUGGGCUUAAAGCGUGUGUAGGCGGACGGGUAAGUACCUUGUGAAAUCCCACGGCUCAACCGUGGAACGGCUGGGUAUACUGGGUGCCUUGGGUCAUCCAGGGGUUGCCGGAACAAAUGGUGGAGCGGUGAAAUGCGUAGAGAUCCACAGGAACUCCGGUGGCGAAGGCGGCACGCUGGACCCCUUCUGACGCUGAGGCGCGAAAGCCAGGGGAGCGAACGGG
rnacentral:rRNA from 1 species